CGCACAAGCGGUGGAGCAUGUGGUUUAAUUCGAUGCAACGCGAAGAACCUUACCUGGUCUUGACAUCCACAGAACUUAGCAGAGAUGCUUUGGUGCCUUCGGGAACUGUGAGACAGGUGCUGCAUGGCUGUCGUCAGCUCGUGUUGUGAAAUGUUGGGUUAAGUCCCGCAACGAGCGCAACCCUUAUCCUUUGUUGCCAGCGGUUCGGCCGGGAACUCAAAGGAGACUGCCAGUGAUAAACUGGAGGAAGGUGGGGAUGACGUCAAGUCAUCAUGGCCCUUAC
rnacentral:rRNA from 1 species